AGAACCUACAGAUGUAUGUAUGUGUCUCCAGAAAAUCUCCAGGCUUCUGAUAUCAAAAGCCCGUCAUUGUGUGGCGAUCGAGGCAAAAUAAUUUCAUUUGUUUUAUAUGACACACCAUAUGCAUAUAUCCGAUCAGAAGUUGACAAACGCAUGGAAAUAUCAGAUAAGAGGCCUUCAAACCAGACAUUCCGACUAUGCGACACGCCUCCUCUUGUAGCCUUGCAGGGAAACUCAGCGCAGCCACCGGACUCCGGAUUUCGUUCGCACGGAUUUAAAGGCUUUGGCUUAUCAGCUGACCCCAGUAAUUGGCUUAUCAAUUGAGAAUGUCCCACAACCAUUGGUAUUUUACGGAUCGCUUGUGAAUGGAACCUUAA